UGCUUCUCACUCUUAGGUACUUUAUUCCUAAUCUCUUCUAUAUAGAAUGUAAACUGUAUCAGAGCAAUGGAUUAUUUAGUUCAGUACUGUAUCCCUGCACCUAUCCACAGUAUUGGCUCAGUAGGAAAUGGCACAUGUUCCUAGACCUCAGAUUCUACAGCUCAGCUGAAGUUAACCUCACUAUUGAUGUUCAUCUAGACUCUCAUUAACCUAUGACCCAAGCUGAACUUGCUUCAGCACUGCAUUGUGUGGCUCAUGGUCAUCUGUGCCCACACCUGCACACCAACAAAACUCUCAAAGGAUGGAUUUUAUUUCUACAUAUAAGUUGGUGAGAGGGGA